UAUAUCCGCUUCGGACGUGUGCGUUUCUCUCUGGACGCGAAAUGGGCGCUCAGGCUGCAUCAUCUCGCCACGCCCCUGGAGGUGGCGCCCUCGUCCGAGCCCCAGAGCACCCCAGUGUCGUCCGCGGCCAUGUUCUGCGGCGUCACCGGAGCCGGUCAGGUUCACCGUUGACCGCCCCUUCAUGUUCCUGGUCAUGAACAAGGACCCCGACGCGGUGCUGGUCCUUGGCUCCGUCAAGCGGGUCUCCUCAAGGAAGGCCAAGGCGCAGUCCACUAAUUGACAGCAGCCGAGCGUCAACGCCAUCACUAACGCUCGGAUAGCGCCCGAGCGCCUCCUCGUGUCACCAAUCCAGGCUUGACGUGAAAUAAUAGACACACUAUCCAACGUUGUCUUUUUGUUUAUUUA